UAGACUUCUAUAGAACUCAACAGUGUUGAAAUUUGACGUCUUGGGUCAGCACACCGCAACCCGUUGUCUGCCUUGUAUGGGUGGAGACUACAAUAAAUAAAAAUAAAAAGGAAUAGGCUACAAAAAAGGAUCUAUGCCAGGGCGAGCAAAUGGCGGCCCCCAGAUCAUUUUUAUCUGGCCCUCCAACUGGUUUUUGAUGUUUAAAAACCCUCUCAAUCUGAUAUCAAAGUGCCCUCUGCGCAAAGGUUUAGCGCGUUCAUCAGCGGUGAGUUUAACAACACUCAACUGCAGGUAAAACGGCAUUCAGAGGUGAGUUUGACCAAAGCAACGCUCAACUGCAGGUAAAAGCAUUAAAAUGUGAGUUUAACAACGCUCCAAGGCGCGUGCAAGUAAGCAGUUUAAGCGUUUUAUUACAACCCAUUCUCACUCCUAAAGCGCCAAAAACUGACGCCUCUAGCGUCACUAUGAAGACGCCAAAGGCGCCCCUCGGCGUCGCUAUAUCGACGCACUAGGACCUACAUUGCUUUAAGUGGGAAACUUUUGGCGUCAGUACUCAGACGCGAAGGGCAUGAGAUGUUUAUCGCUAUGAAAUCACGUUCAAGAAGUCUCAUUCAGCGCACAUCGCGAUAUUUGCCAUCAGUUUACAUGUGCCACAGGUUGGCUGAAAAGACAUGAAGGAAGCAGUCAGCCCAGUCGUGUUUGUGGAGAGGUAUUCCUUCAGAAAUGGAGAAGAUAGAAAGCUGCGGAGGCAGACAUUUGCAGCAGAUUGUUUGCAGAUAACGCUGUACUCCAUCAUGCACAAGGACUCACCUCUUUAACUCUUUAUCCCCCACACACACAGAAAUGGUCCCUGGAUCAGUGUUUAGACUUUGCAGUGGUUUGAUUUUUGCAGAAAAUGCAACUUUGUUUUAAUUAUAAGCUUAUAAUGAAUACAUUUUGACCUUCCAGCAGCCCAUAUACUGUAUACAGAACCAGUGAUGAAAACAAUAGUUGAAAAUAGUAUUUUCGUAUUGAUAAAGCAUUGUGUUCUCUUUUUCAAGCUUCA